rnacentral:tRNA from 1 species
GCCCGAGUGGCGGAAUUGGUAGACGCGCACGACUCAAACUCGUGUUCUUACGAGUGCCGGUUCGACUCCGGCCUCGGGUA